GAAACCGUUUGCCGCGUAAAUCGUACAGAUAUUACAACCCUACACAAUACCUCACUAUAUUAAGGUUAAGGAUAGUGCGGUAAUAUUAGAGAUAGUUUUUUUUAAUCGAUUAGACAUAGCGUGCGUAUAUUGCGUAUGGAAAUGUUAAUUAAGUCUUUGGUAAGCAACAAUUGGAGCGUAUGGCGGUCCACUUAGCCAAAACUUAAAAGCAGUUACUUUGUCAGCGGUAUAUGAUGCAGACUGUAAGAAGGUUUUCUCGUACAUCAGCCCUCAAAUGAUAUGUGCCGGAGUGUCUGAAGAUGGAAAAGGGUCUUGUGGGGGUGAUUCCGGUGGUCCAAUAAUAGUGACGGAGACUAAAGAGCAAAUGGGCAUCACGUCCUUCGGUUUUAGCUGCGCUAAAGCAAACGUUCCGGGCGUUUACACCUACCUCUGUGAACCGAGUAAUCAGAAAUGGCUGAAAGAAAUGGAAUGCGCAUAAAUAAUAUAUCAUUUUUGG